rnacentral:rRNA from 1 species
AUACGGAGGGUGCGAGCGUUAAUCGGAAUUACUGGGCGUAAAGCGCGCGUAGGCGGUUAGAUAAGUCUGAUGUGAAAGCCCUGGGCUUAACCUGGGAAUGGCAUUGGAUACUGUUUGACUAGAGUGCAGGAGAGGAGAGUGGAAUUCUCGGUGUAGCGGUGAAAUGCGUAGAUAUCGGGAGGAACACCAGUGGCGAAGGCGGCUCUCUGGACUGACACUGACGCUGAGGUGCGAAAGCGCGGGUAGCAAACAGGAUUAGAAACCCCGGUAGUCC